rnacentral:rRNA from 1 species
GACGGAGGAUGCAAGCGUUAUCCGGAAUGAUUGGGCGUAAAGCGUCUGUAGGUGGCUUUUUAAGUCUGCCGUCAAAUCCCAGGGCUUAACCCUGGACAGGCGGUGGAAACUAACAAGCUGGAGUACGGUAGGGGCAGAGGGAAUUUCCGGUGGAGCGGUGAAAUGCGUAGAGAUCGGAAAGAACACCAACGGCGAAGGCACUCUGCUGGGCCGACACUGACACUGAGAGACGAAAGCUAGGGGAGCAAAUGGG